CGUCAUCCAGACGGGACCCUCCUAGGAGGCAGGUCCCCCGAGGUCCUCGUGCCUUCGGGGUAGUUGGCGCCCCUCGCGCUACCGCGGGACCUGCCAGUCUGCGGCGGCCGCCCGUGCUGACCACAGGAAUGAUUCAUGGUGGCACGUGGCACAGCCAGGAAGCGGCCCAGCUAACACGGAGCUGAGCAACCCCUCCCGGAAACUCUGCCACGUGGCCUGUGUUGGGCACACAGCCAUAGUAGGAUGCUGGGGGCUGGGAGUGGUGCCCCCACUGCGGGGGGCUAACACCACGCCUCCCUCACCCCCUCUCCUUGCUGUGGGCAGGGAUGGAAAGUCCGAGCGCUGCCUUUCCCAGUCUCCUGGCCGCCACGUGCGGUGUGAGAUCAGAUCUGGCAGAGACUUCGGAGCAUCUGGCAGGGCCAGGGGUCUGGGCUUCUGAGAAGCAGGCUUGUGUGAUCAAAGGGAGGGGUGCAGCUGGCUGCCCUCCCACCGUCUCGUGUCCUGGAACAGGGGAUGCAGCCCGGACCGCUUAGCCACCAGACCAAGCCCAGCAACUGCUGACUUCUUAUUUCAUAGCAAAAAAGUGAACCCCG